CUAGAUGGUUGUGUGACUGCCUUUUUAAGGAGGAAAGUCCGGACUCAUCAGAGCACCAAAGCCGGAUAACGUCCGGCGGGGGCAACCCUAGGGAAAGUGCAACAGAAAAUAUACCGCCNCAUUUGUGGUAAGGGUGAAAUGGNGAGGUAAGAGCUCACCACUUCNUUGGUAACAAGGAAGGUUUUUGUAAACCCCUUUGGGAGCAAGUCCAAGUAAGCCUNGUCAUUUUUUAUGACAUGCGUUGCUCUGCGUAUAGCUUGGUGGGAUGCUAGAAAUAACUGGUAACAGUUGUUCAAGAUUAAUAGUCACANCCUUAAAAUAUAGGAACAGAAUCCGGCUUAUAUGCCAUCUAGUAUU
rnacentral:RNase_P_RNA from 2 species